rnacentral:rRNA from 1 species
GACGAACGCUGGCGGCGUGCUUAACACAUGCAAGUCGAGCGGUAAGGCCCUUUCGGGGGUACACGAGCGGCGAACGGGUGAGUAACACGUGGGUGACCUGCCCUCAGCUCUGGGAUAAGCCUGGGAAACCGGGUCUAAUACUGGAUAUGACUCCAUGACGCAUGUUGUGGGGUGGAAAGCCUUGUGCGGCUGAGGAUGGGCCCGCGGCCUAUCAGCUUGUUGGUGGGGGAUGGCCUACCAAGGCGACGACGGGUAGCCGGCCUGAGAGGGCGACCGGCCACACUGGGACUGAGACACGGCCCAGACUCCUACGGGAGGCAGCAGUGGGGAAUCUUGCGCAAUGGGCGAAAGCCUGACGCAGCGACGCCGCGUGAGGGAUGACGGCCUGGUGUAACUCUU